UACUCGGUAGCUCAGUGGUAGAGUGUCUGGCUGUUAACCAGAGGGUCGCAGGUUCGAAUCCUGCCCGAGUAG
rnacentral:tRNA from 1 species